UGCUCCCGCCUCUCGCCCGGGCAGCGCUUUGGGGGGGGGGGGGGGGGGGGGCUCAAGCCGGAUCCUGCCCAUUCCAUACGUUAAUGCUCUUUUCUCUCCGGCUGCAGGGAAGCAGGCCAGCGGAUAAUUACCCCUCACUGCAAUCCGCAGAGCUGGCCUAAUCCGAAAGCUCAAGUGCCCGUAAUGAGUGAGUCGCCCAAAUUGCCAUACACCUUCAGCUUUGGGUUUACCCCACCCUUUGUUAUCAAGACCAUCUCUUGGACAGAUUUCUGGACCACGCAAAACAUGGGAGCACAGACACGCUCUUAAGGACGGCGGGGAUGUAUAUGUUCAGAGCCAUACGUGCGAGCGCAGCGUGUACAUCCUCCCGCCAGGAACAGAGCAAGAGGCUGGGCCCAGCAGAACCAGCCUGUGGAAAUCAGGAUAUUUACAGUACUCAGACAUGUGAUGAAGGCUGCAGCAAGGCACUGCCUCGAAGUUAGGACAAUUGAGCUGCAGAGCGCACCGUGGAGGAACAGGGAAGAGAUGCGGGCUCCAUCACCACCUUUUUGGCAGUGCAGCGGGUGACAAGAAAGAUCUCUAAUUUCCCCUCACCUCUCCCAGCAGCCAGAGAAAAGUGUGAUCAGAUGGUCUUCUACCACAACAGCGACGUUGCUGGACACCCAGCAAAGAAACGGUGAAGGUUUAAACUUCUCCCCUGGCUAAACUUCUACGCGGAGAGGUUAAGGACUGGAA